rnacentral:tRNA from 1 species
GUCCAGGGUAGCCUAGUGGACAUGGCACCUGCCCGGUAAGCAGAAGGUUGUGGGUUCGAUUCCCGCCCUGGACA